rnacentral:misc_RNA from 1 species
GAAAUGCGAUAAGUAGUGUGAAUUGCAGAAUUCAGUGAAUCAUCGAAUCUUUGAACGCACAUUGCGCCCCUUGGUAUUCCAUGGGGCAUGCCUGUUCGAGCGUCAUUUGUACCUUCAAGCUUUGCUUGGUGUUGGGUGUUUGUCUCGCCUCCGCGCGUAGACUCGCCUCAAAACAAUUGGCAGCCGGCGUAUUAUUUUCGGAGCGCAGUACAUCUCGCGCUUUGCACUCAUAACGACGACGUCCAAAAGUACAUUUUUACACUCUUGACCUCGGAUCAGGUAGGGAUACCCGCUGAACUUAAGC